GUGAACUUUGACCCUGAAAUUUUUUUAUGCAUUUGCAGUGUUUUGUUACAUUUUAUAAUCAUUGCAAAAAGUAAUACUAGACAUGUCUAUCCCUUACAAACAUGUUUGCAAGAAAAAAAAAUGAAGUCAAUCCCUGACUUGAGGUUCUUUGACCUCCGACCAGUAGAUGGCGCUGUGAUUGUGCUGGGUCAUUAUUUUGGACGUGUCUUUUGUAGAAUACACAGAUUCUACAUAUGUUUGUGCACUUUUUCUCUGUAAACACCCCUUUUGCCAUGUGUUUAUUGCCUUAUUUCUGAUGCUGUGAAUGUGUCAGGUUGAAAUGUAAUGAUUAUGAUUGUUAUGAACGUUGAGACAGUGUUUGUGUCCUGGGGGCCAGAUCUCAUUCACUGAGUGUUGUGAAGUGAUUUGUUGCAUGAAUGAAUCAGAAAAAAUAAUCCGAACAGACAACAUGGAGUGGGGGGAAGAAGUUUGUAGAGAGAUUAUCAUAUAAAAUUCACACCAUUUCCAAGUCAGCUCACACUCGACACGUCCGUCAGCCGAAAGUGUGCCUUUCUUACAGGCUUCGUGACCGCUCAGAUGAUGGAUGACCUGUUUGCACCUCAGCCCACUGAUCUUCUGCCUCUUGCAGUCACCAUUCAUUUCAAAAGUGAACGGUACUUCAGCCAUCAUCUGUGACCAAAACAACUGCAAAAACAAAGAGGAAAAAGACAGUAACACUACCAUUUGUCCCAUCAUUUGUUGCCUGUGCAAAAGCCUCACCUUGUUCAUUCAAAUUUCAAUGUAAAAAUAUUGUAUUUUUCACAAAAUGCUGCCAAUAUGUAAAUGUAUGUUGAUAUUGCCAAUUAUUGUGACUUUUGAACCUGUUAUUUAUUUCUGUACAUUUCUCACUUCUAACUCUGUGUCACUUUAUAAACUGUUACCGUUAAUUAGGCCAGCAGUUUUAUUUUAGGAGGGAAUUGUCACUCUUUGUAAUAUACACAUUCCUCGUGCCAACUUAUGAAAGUUCUCACAUUUUUUUUAACUCUUGAAACAGUACUGACAGUGAACACUGGCAUGUAUGGACUCUACUCAGUUUUACUGAGUUUACUCACAUUUUUAAAGUUAUUGUACACAGUCACUGACAAGGAAAAAUGUGUUAUUAAAAUGUUUGUAUGCGCACUCCAACAAAUGAAUUUAUACAUAAAGUCUCUUAAACUAA